GAUGAAGAACGUAGCGAAAUGCGAUAAGUAGUGUGAAUUGCAGAAUUCAGUGAAUCAUCGAAUCUUUGAACGAACAUUGCGCCCCUUGGUAUCCCGAGGGGCAUGCCUGUUCGAGCGUCAUUUCACCACUCAAGCCUGGCUUGGUGUUGGGCGACGUCCCCUUUAGGGACGCGCCUCGAAACGCUCGGCGGCGUGGCACCGGCUUUAAGCGUAGCAGAAUCUUUCGCUUUGGAAGUCGGGGCCCCGCCUGCCGGAAUACCUACUCGUAAGGUUGACCUCGGAUCAGGCAGGGAUACCCGCUGAACUUAAGCAUAUCAAUAAGCGGAGGA
rnacentral:misc_RNA from 1 species